AUGCCAGGACUUCUCUUCAUAGUGCUGCUCAUCUCUCUUCUCGCCAAUGGAACAUAUGUUGCCACAGCAUGGGAUGAUGAAGAAUUCUUCAAGAAUUGUUCACCAAGUCGGUGCAGCAAACAUGGACCAGAGGUCCGGUUUCCAUUCAGGCUUGCAACCCAACCUCCACCUUGUGGUGCACCAGGUAUGCAGUUAUCAUGCUCUGGACAGGACACCAUCCUGUAUCACCCAGUUCUUGGCUCCUGCAAAGUGACUGCAAUAUUUUAUAAGGAUCUAGUCAUAAACAUCAGUCCACCUAUAGACACAUCACCUCACUGCCCACUUCAGAUACUCAUCUCAGCAAAUCUAUCAACUGAUGUGUACAAACCUCAAAAGUUGGAUGUUGCAAGCUUAGUAGGUUGUUCAAGAGAUUCUAUACCAAUAGAUCUAUACGGUAUAGUGGGCCCAGUCGCUUGUCUUGUUAAUAAGGACAUCCAGUUCUGGUAUUUGGUGAACCCCAACGCAUACAUGUCUGUUCUACCUUUGGAUUGCAUGGUUUUUUCUAAGGAGAUCCCGAUACCAUAUACUAGUCAGAUUCAUCACUCAUACUUCAUAAGGAAGAAGGUCGACAACACUGCAACCUUCGAGUAUAGGGCAAGCCGAAGCAUCAGUAUUGGUGAAACGGCAUUUUCUUGGUACUCUAGUAAUAUCACUAGUGUUUGCCAACAGUGCGAAGAAGAAGGUCAAAAAUGUGGAUUUGACUCACAAAGGGAUCAAGCUUUCUGCAAGAGACAUGGUAUGAAGGUCAUCCCAAUUGCAGCAUCAUCUGUAGCUGCAUUUGUAGCUCUUUCAUUGAUGGUAGCCACGACACUCUACCUCUCAUUGAAGUCAAGGUAUCAUGAAGAGAUAAAUAGGAAGGUUGAAAUGUUUCUGAAGGCAUACAGCACAUCGAAACCCACAAGGUACACUUUCCCUGAAGUUAGGAAGAUAGCAAGACGGUUCAAGGAUAAAUUGGGCCAGGGUGGAUUUGGAAGUGUGUACAAAGGCGAGCUACCAAAUGGAGUGCCUGUGGCAGUCAAGAUGCUAGAGGGCUCCGUAGGAGAGGGAGAGGAAUUCAUCAAUGAAGUUGCAACCAUUGGACUAAUCCACCAUACAAAUAUCGUUCAUCUCUUGGGCUUUUGCUCCGAAGGAACUAGACGGGCUCUUAUUUACGAAUUCAUGCCCAAUGAUUCACUCGAGAAAUACAUAUUCACACAUAUUUCCAAUAUUUCUCGACAACUCCUAGCACCAAACAAAAUGAUAGAUAUUGCUUUAGGCAUUGCUCGAGGGAUGGAAUACCUGCACCAAGGCUGCAACCAACGCAUCCUUCACUUUGACAUCAAGCCGCACAACAUCUUGCUGGACUACAACUUCAAUCCGAAGAUAUCAGAUUUUGGUCUUGCAAAGCUGUGUGCAAGGGACCAAAGCAUCGUUACCUUGACUGCAGCCAGAGGUACUAUGGGAUACAUCGCACCAGAGCUAUACUGUCGGAACUUUGGAGGGGUGUCUUACAAGUCAGAUGUGUACAGUUUUGGCAUGCUGGUGUUGGAAAUGGUGAGCGGACGGAGGAACACAGACCCAAGUGUUGAGAGCCAGAAUGAGGUGUACCUCCCGGAGUGGAUUUAUGAGAAAAUAACCACUGAGCAAGAAUGGGAGCUUACUUUGGAAAUGACAGCAGAAGAGAAAGAAAAGAUGAGGCAGCUGACUAUUGUGGCCCUGUGGUGCAUCCAAUGGAACCCAAAGAACCGGCCAUCGAUGACGAAGGUGGUAAACAUGUUAACAGGGAGGUUGCAGAACCUGCAGAUUCCCCCCAAGCCCUUCGUGUCAUCUGAAAAUCGCCCUAUGCCGCAAAACAGGGCGAACACAUGA
rnacentral:rRNA from 1 species